rnacentral:rRNA from 1 species
CAGCCGCCGCGGUAAAACGGAGGGUGCAAGCGUUAAUCGGAAUUACUGGGCGUAAAGCGCACGCAGGCGGUCUGACAAGUCAGAUGUGAAAUCCCCGGGCUUAACCUGGGAACUGCAUUUGAAACUGUCAGGCUGGAGUCUUGUAGAGGGGGGUGGAAUUCCAGGUGUAGCGGUGAAAUGCGUAGAGAUCUGGAGGAAUACCGGUGGCGAAGGCGGCCCCCUGGACAAAGACUGACGCUCAGGUGCGAAAGCGUGGGGAGCAAACAGGAUUAGAUACCCCAGUAGUCCCUGUCUCUUAUAC